rnacentral:tRNA from 2 species
GGACUCGUGGUCUAGGGGUUAUGACGGCGCCCUUACAAGGCGCAGGUCGCCGGUUCAAAUCCGGCCGGGUCCACCA